GACUCUAGGCGUGAUCACCCGGUUCUAGGUCGAUGAAGACGCAGCCAGCUGCGAGACUUGGUGUGAAUUGCAGGACACACUGAGCACUUACUCUUUGAACGCACAUUGCGGCAUCGGGUCGUCCCGUGGCUUCGUCUGUGUGAGGGUCG
rnacentral:rRNA from 2 species